CCGCUCCCUCCUAGUAUUUUGAUUCCCCGCACCCCAAAUCAGUUUAUCUACCCUAACCCUAGCCUAACUUCACCCCACGCACAAUUGAUCUUCUUCAUUUGCAUCUACUCUCCACUUUCCCUCCAUAUAAAUCGAUCAUCUCAAAUACAUCAUCUGGUGUAAAUCUCCCUCUAAGUUGAUCAUCUCAAAUUCGUCAACCGGAGGUUUUCCAUAACCAUGGUUUAUUUAUUGUGCUGCUAUGGGUCCGUAUUAUGCAAUUGUGGAUUCAUUUGUUGCAAUUUUAGCUCCUUCCAUAUUCAAGGUAUAAUACUCCUGCCUAGUACCGUUCUUUUCAAUACCGUAGUAGUUUAUAAGUCAUGCACACCAACUAUUUGAUUAAAUGCCUGCGUGUUUUUGAUCCCCAUUUGGAAUUACAUUUUUCCGAGUCGGUGUUCUAUGUGUGGUGCUUGGUUCAGGUAGGUCUUCCAAAUUCAAACUCACAAAUAUCAGCUACGAAGUUGUCUCUUAGUGUUGCUCAUUGCUAGAGCUCUGCAAGAUGUUAUGAUGAAAACGAAAGGGCAUAUGGUAUAUGUUAAUCUGAAGAAAAAAUGAUUGGUUUGUGAUCUUUUUUUAACGGCAAAGAAUCUCAUGUGUAAACCCACCCUGCUCGGGGCUAUGUCCAAGGUCGACUCCCCGCCCGCAAUGAGACGUGCCCCCUGAUGCGCGAAGUUAAUUUUAUUAAAAACAUAAUCACAAGCUAAAAGGAAUCCCAAACACCCCCAUACAAAUUCUGACUUCUCAAUUUCUGGAGACGAGUUUAAAUAAGUGACGGACAAGAGUCAUCUGCACAAGAAGAGAAGAUUUUUGUUGCAGUGAAGCUUAGACUUUUCAGUGCAAACAAAAUUGCAAAGGAUGAUGCAUUUGAUUGGGAGUGCACAAACCAUUAUCAUAUUAAAAACAACACUUUAGAAUGAUCAACGUAUCCAUUAGCGAAACACCUAUCAUCUAGCCAUCCAUCUUCUUGCAUUUCCUUUAAAUUUAUACCCAUAAAUGUGACAUGCAUAUGAUGAUUGUUCUGGAAUAGUCUGAGUAUAUGGGUGUGAUAGUUCAACAAAACAAGUGUACGUGGAGGGAGUCAAAGGGAUUGCUUUUUUUUUUGUUCUUAAUGGCGUUAACCGUAAGGUACUUAUGUGAUCAUCUUGAACUUUGAAAACACACGUUUCCUUUUAAUCUUUGUCUCAAGUGCACAAUUUUAUGUUUUAGCAAAAUGAUAGAGAAUUUGCAUUGAAAGUUUCCACCAUAGAAAUCUACAACGAAAGUGUCAGAGAUCUUUUAAGCCAAGAUACUUCCCAACUUAGAUUCCUUGAUGACCUAGAGGCCAGAGAGAGGGACAGUUGUAGAAAAACUAACAUAAGUUAAUCUGAGGGACUGCAAUCAUCUAAAGGAACUUAUUAAUGGGUGUGAAGCUGAGAAGCAAACUGGGGAGACAAUAUUGAAUUAAAGGAGUUUCUAGAUCUCAUCCUUUGUUUGGUACCUAUCUCUAUUUUAAAAGAUCGCUACCGGAAAUCGCAGUUUGCUAACUCUACCAAUUGUUAUUUGCGAAUUAAGGAAGUUGUAAAUCGUACACAUUUGAAGACAUAUUUGGAGAUAUUUGACCCGGUUCACGCAUUUGACAUAGUUCAUCAGUUGAUAGGAGGCUAAAAUAGCAUAACACUUUUAAAAGGUUUUUGAGUGGGCACAAGCAAUUCCUAAAUUUCUGGUCACCAUGUGAUGUAUGUGCCAAUUUUCCUUGAACGAACGUAUGAAAGAAGUCAGGCAUCAUUGAUGAUACACCGAUGUUAUGAAAUGAUUAUUAGUUUAAGAUGAGUUGAAUUAAAUGUAUUUAUUUCUUUGUUAUUUUGUAAUUGACACUGCUUUGACUAAUUAUCAUUUGAGUUUUUGAAGAAGCAAA